rnacentral:misc_RNA from 1 species
UCCCUGUUACCAGGGCAGUCUAGCUAGAGAAAUUCAACUAACUAAAAGGGUUGCGCUCGUUGAUGGACUUAACCAAACAUCUCACGACACGAGCUGACGACGGCCAUGCAUCACCUGUCACUUGGCUCAAUAAAGCACUCUCUGCUUUCGCGGAAAUUCCAAGGAUGUCAAACCUGGGUAAGGUUCUUCGCUUACCAUCGAAUUAAACAUCACGCUCCACCGCUUGUGCGGGUCCCCGUCAAUUCCUUUGAGUUUUAGCCUUGCGGCCGUACUCCCCAGGCGGGGUACUUAAUGCGUUAGCUACGGCACGGAUCCCAAGGAAGGAAACCCACACCUAGUACCCACCGUUUACGGCGUGGACUAC